UCGAAAUCUCCGAGUACAAAAUCGAUCAAUCUCUCGGAAAAUGAUCGUGUAUUCUCUCUCUCAGCCUCACUGCUUCCUAAUGAAUCUCUCUAUUUCUCCUCAUUACGGUUGCUGCUACUGCGGAGUUUGGUGGGGAGGUAUUAGAGACGGAGCUUUGGUGCGUGGCGAAGAACAACGUUGAGGAUUCAACACUUUAAACGGCCAUUGACUGGGCUUGUGGUCCCAGAGGAGCUGAUUGCGUCUAGAUUCAGCAAGGUGGAUCCUGCUACGAUCCAUUGGAUAUAGUGAAGAUGGCUUCGUAUGUAUUCAAUAACUAUUAUCUGAUGGAAUGGUCUCGCAGAUGAAGCUUGCAACUUUAGUAACAACGCAGCUGUUACUUCUCUCAAUCCUAGUCAAGGAACAUGCAAGUUUCCUUCAAGUAAGGGAGUGAGCAAUGGAAGUAUCGCAGAUGCCACUUCAAUGCAGGGAGCAACUGCACCAGAAUUCUCAGAUUGAGCCGAGCAAGGCGGAUGUUUAGCAGCUGGUUGUCACCCUUCGUCAUUUUAGGCCACAUUGUGACAAUGACACUGAUUAUCCAACAGGUUUAGCUUCCGAUUGGUGAUUGAAGAUCUGCCACACGAUCUUGGUC
rnacentral:lncRNA from 1 species